GGCCUCGUAGCUCAGCUGGUACAGCACUCACGGUAUUGAAGCGAGGGUGGUAACCAUGCGUGGGUUAGAAUCCCGCCGAGGCCA
rnacentral:tRNA from 1 species